AACGAACGCUGGCGGCGUGCCUAACACAUGCAAGUCGAGCGCGAAUGGAGCAAUCCUAGUAGAGCGGCGCACGGGUGAGUAACACGUGGGUAAUCUGCCUGGGAGACCGGAAUAACCUGCCGAAAGGCAAGCUAAUACCGGAUAAGCCUACGGGUUUUUCGAAACCUGAAGGAAAGGUGGCCUCUGUACACAAGCUACCACUCCCAGACGAGCCCGCGUCCCAUCAGCUAGNGGCGGGUAAUGGCCCACCAAGGCUACGACGGGUAGCUGGUCUGAGAGGACGAUCAGCCACACUGGAACUGAGACACGGUCCAGACUCCUACGGAGGCAGCAGUGGGAAUUUUGCACAAUGGGCGAAAGCCUGAUGCAGCAACGCCGCGUGUGUGAU
rnacentral:rRNA from 1 species